GCAAGUCGAUGGGGAAGUGGUGCUUGCACCAUGGUAACCAUGGCGGACGGGUGAGUAACGCGUAAGGGACUUACCUGCAGGACUGGGAUAACAGGGGGAAACUCCUGACAAGACCGGAUAAUGUCAUGGAGCUGCAUGGCUUUAUGAUGAAAGGAGACGCCUGCGGAGAGCCUUGCGUCCUAGUAGCUAGUUGGGGAGGUAAGGGCUCACAAAGGCGAAGAGAGGUAGCCGGCCUGAGAGGGUGGGC
rnacentral:rRNA from 1 species